UACGGAGGGUGCAAGCGUUAUCCGGAAUCACUGGGUUUAAAGGGUGCGUAGGCGGCGCAAUAAGUCAGAGGUGAAAGGCCACAGCUCAACUGUGGGACUGCCUUUGAUACUGUAGUGCUUGAAUUAGGCUGAGGUCGGCGGAAUGUGACAUGUAGCGGUGAAAUGCUUAGAUAUGUCAUAGAACACCAAUUGCGAAGGCAGCUGACUAGACCGUAAUUGACGCUGAGGCACGAAAGCGUGGGGAGCGAACAGG
rnacentral:rRNA from 1 species